rnacentral:rRNA from 2 species
UGGGGAAUAUUGCGCAAUGGGGGAAACCCUGACGCAGCGACGCCGCGUGAGCGAAGAAGGCCUUAGGGUUGUAAAGCUCUGUUUUAAGGGACGAAUGUCACCUUAAGUAAUAUGUAGGGUGAAUGACGGUACCUUAAGAGGAAGCCCCGGCUAACUACGUGCCAGCAGCCGCGGUAAGACGUAGGGGGCGAGCGUUGUCCGGAAUUACUGGGCGUAAAGAGCACGUAGGCGGGAACUUAAGUCCGGUGUGAAAGACCGGGGCUCAACCUCGGGUAUGCACUUGAAACUGGGUUUCUUGAGGGCAGGAGAGGAAAGCAGAAUUCCUGGUGUAGCGGUGAAAUGCGUAGAAAUCAGGAGGAAUACCAGUGGCGAAGGCGGCUUUCUGGACUGACCCUGACGCUGAGGUGCGAAAGCGUGGGUAGCAAACAGG